rnacentral:rRNA from 1 species
CCUACGGUGGGCAGCAGUGGGGGAUAUUGGACAAUGGGGGGGAACCCUGAUCCAGCGACGCCGCGUGAGUGAAGAAGUAUUUCGGUAUGUAAAGCUCUGUCAGCAGGGAAGAAAGCAAUGACGGUACCUGACCCAGAAGCCCCGGCUAACUACGUGCCAGCAGCCGCGGUAAUACGUAGGGGGCAAGCGUUAUCCGGAAUUACUGGGUGUAAAGGGAGCGUAGACGGCUGUGCAAGUCUGGAGUGAAAGGCGGGGGCCCAACCCCCGGACUGAUCUGGAAACUGUAUGGCUGGAGUGCAGGAGAGGUAAGCGGAAUUCCUAGUGUAGCGGUGAAAUGCGUAGAUAUUAGGAGGAACACCAGUGGCGAAGGCGGCUUACUGGACUGUAACUGACGUUGAGGCGCGAAAGCGUGGGGAGCAAACAGGAUUAGAUACCCUUGUAGUC